CCUACGGGUGGCAGCAGUGAGGGAUAUUGGUCAAUGGGGGAAACCCUGAACCAGCAACGCCUCGUGAGGGAAGACGGUUUUCGGAUUGUAAACCUCUGUCCUCUGUGAAGAUAAUGACGGUAGCAGAGGAGGAAGCUACGGCUAACAACGUGCCAGCAGCCGCGGUAAUACGUAGGGAGCAAGCGUGGUCCGGAUUUACGGGGUGUAAAGGGUGCGUAGGCGGCCCUGCAAGUCAGAAGUGAAAUCCAUGGGCUUAACCCGUGAACUGCUGUUGAAACUGGAGGGCUUGAGGGAAGUAGAGGCAGGCGGAAGUCCGGGUGUAGCGGUGAAAUGCGUAGAGAUCGGGAGGAACACCAGUGGCGAAGGCGGGCUGCUGGGCGUUAACUGACGCUGAAGCACUAAAGCGUGGGUAGCAAACAGGAUUAGAUACCCGUGGAGUC
rnacentral:rRNA from 1 species